UCUACAGCACGAUCUAGACCAACAAUCAAAAGGAUAGGGCUUUGGCCCAGAAGCCAGAUUGUCCCGGAUGAUGGACAUCCUGUGGUCAAGGACAACAGAAGACUACACUGGCCUGCACUCUUGGCCUAUGGGAGAAAGCAGGACAGAAUGCCUGGUUCCAGUGUUUGCUCGGUCCUGGGAAGAGAAAGCUGCCAGACGCAGGUGGCUGUCUACUAAUCGGAACGCAAGGAGGAGGGGUGGCGUCCACACUGCAGGCUUCCCAGCUGCCCACCCCACGCAGCACAGCUGAAAGGAC